rnacentral:rRNA from 1 species
GUAGGUGGCAAGCGUUGUCCGGAAUUAUUGGGCGUAAAGCGCGCGCAGGCGGUUCUUUAAGUCUGAUGUGAAAGCCCACGGCUCAACCGUGGAGGGUCAUUGGAAACUGGAGAACUUGAGUACAGAAGAGGAAAGCGGAAUUCCACGUGUAGCGGUGAAAUGCGUAGAGAUGUGGAGGAACACCAGUGGCGAAGGCGGCUUUCUGGUCUGUAACUGACGCUGAGGCGCGAAAGCGUGGGGAGCAAACAGGGAUUAGAUACCCUGGUAGUCCACGCCGUAAACGAUGAGUGCUAAUGUUAGGGGGUUUCCGCCCCCUUAGUGCUGCAGCUAACGCAUUAAGCACUCCGCCUGGGGUAGUACGGCCGCAAGGCUG